UGGGGAAUCUUGCGCAAUGGGCGAAAGCCUGACGCAGCCAUGCCGCGUGAGUGAUGAAGGCCUUAGGGUUGUAAAACUCUUUCACCGGGGACGAUAAUGACGGUACCCGGAGAAGAAGCCCCGGCUAACUUCGUGCCAGCAGCCGCGGUAAUACGAAAGGGGGCUAGCGUUGCUCGGAAUUACUGGGCGUAAAGGGCGCGUAGGCGGAUCAGCAAGUUGGGGGUGAAAGCCCGGGGCUCAACCUCGGAAUUGCCUUCAAAACUGCUGAUCUAGAGUACGGGAGAGGUGUGUGGAACUCCGAGUGUAGAGGUGAAAUUCGUAGAUAUUCGGAAGAACACCAGUGGCGAAGGCGACACACUGGCCCGUUACUGACGCUGAGGCGCGAAAGCGUGGGGAGCAAAACAGGAUUAGAUACCCUGGUAGUCCACGCUGUAAACGAUGAUUGCUAGUUGUCGGCAGGCAUGCCUGUCGGUGACNCAGCUAACGCAUUAAGCAAUCCGCCUGGGGAGUACGGUCGCAAGAUUAAAAACUCAAAUGAAUUGACGGGGUCAUAGCUGUUUCCU
rnacentral:rRNA from 1 species